UCACCCAAGUUCUCAGAACACAGGUGGCUUUUAUUCUGGGAACUUUAUAGUUCCCCUGCUGGCCAAACAUCACAGUUCCUGUGUGUGGCAAAGAGAAUCUCUUGUUCUCUACUGCCAGGAAAAGCUUAUUCCCAGGAUCUCAGACAGAUGAGGCCGAACAGGCCGGAAACCAGUCAUCAGCAGAGAGAACCAGUUGGCACUUCAUUAAGGAAGGAAUGCACGGAUCAUGCCAAAUCUUGAGUCAUCAUGAUUGGAUUCCAGGCCAGAGUCCAGGAGGGGACCUGACUGACUGCAAAAUCUGACUCAAGGACCCUGAAACUAGGUGACCCAGAAAAGGCCCAGUCACCAGCGUUAAUUGGUCAAUGCAACAGCGCAGCUACCCCCUUGCUUUGUGUUCCCAUCCUAUAAAGAUGCUGUACAGCCUCCCUUCCGGGACUUGGUUCGGAUGCUGAACUGGCUGUGUCCCUGAGUGCUCAGAAAAUAAAGCUUUCGUUUUUAAGCUUCUGGA